rnacentral:rRNA from 1 species
AUGAACGCUGACAGAAUGCUUAACACAUGCAAGUCAACUUGAACUUCGGUUUGGGUGGCGGACGGGUGAGUAACGCGUAAAGAACUUGCCUCACAGUUAGGGACAACAUUUGGAAACGAAUGCUAAUACCUGAUAUUAUGAUUUUAGGGCAUCCUAGAAUUAUGAAAGCUAUAUGCGCUGUGAGAGAGCUUUGCGUCCCAUUAGCUAGUUGGAGAGGUGACGGCUCACCAAGGCGAUGAUGGGUAGCCGGCCUGAGAGGGUGAACGGCCACAAGGGGACUGAGACACGGCCCUUACUCCUACGGGAGGCAGCAGUGGGGAAUAUUGGACAAUGGACCAAGAGUCUGAUCCAGCAAUUCUGUGUGCACGAUGAAGUUUUUCGGAAUGUAAAGUGCUUUCAGUUGGGAAGAAAAAAAUGACGAUACCAACAGAAGAAGUGACGGCUAAAUACGUG